CCUACGGGAGGCAGCAGUGAGGAAUAUUGGUCAAUGGACGAGAGUCUGAACCAGCCAAGUAGCGUGAAGGAUGACUGCCCUAUGGGUUGUAAACUUCUUUUAUAAAGGAAUAAAACGAGGCACGUGUGCCUUUUUGCAUGUACUUUAUGAAUAAGGAUCGGCUAACUCCGUGCCAGCAGCCGCGGUAAUACGGAGGAUCCGAGCGUUAUCCGGAUUUAUUGGGUUUAAAGGGAGCGUAGAUGGGUUGUUAAGUCAGUUGUGAAAGUUUGCGGCUCAACCGUAAAAUUGCAAUUGAUACUGGCAGUCUUGAGUACAGUAGAGGUAGGCGGAAUUCGUGGUGUAGCGGUGAAAUGCUUAGAUAUCACGAAGAACCCCGAUGGCGAAGGCAGCUUACUAAACUGUGACUGACAUUGAUGCGCGAAAGUGUGGGGAUCAAACAGGAUUAGAUACCCUUGUAGUC
rnacentral:rRNA from 1 species